UUAGGAAUAUUGCACAAUGGGCGAAAGCCUGAUGCAGCGACGCCGCGUGAGUGAAGAAGGCCUUCGGGUUGUAAAGCUCUUUUAGUAGGGAAAACAAAAAUGAUGGUACCUACAGAAAAAGCACCGGCUAACCCUGUGCCAGCAGCCGCGGUAAUACAGGGGGUGCAAGCGUUACUCGGAAUUACUGGGCGUAAAGCGCGUGUAGGUGGUCUCAUAAGUCUGGUGUGAAAUCCCGGGGCUCAACCCCGGAAGUGCAUUGGAUACUGCGAGACUAGAGUGCAGGAGAGGAUGGUGGAAUUCCAGGUGUAGAGGUGAAAUUCGUAGAUAUCUGGAGGAACAUCGGAGGCGAAGGCGACCAUCUGGACUGCAACUGACACUGAGACGCGAAAGCGUGGGGAGC
rnacentral:rRNA from 1 species